GAUGAACGCUAGCUACAGGCUUAACACAUGCAAGUCGAGGGGCAGCAUGGGGUUUGCUUGCAAACCCUGAUGGCGACCGGCGCACGGGUGAGUAACGCGUAUCCAACCUGCCUGUCACUCGGGAACAGCCCGGUGAAAACCGGAUUAAUGCCCGAUGGCGUCCUUUGAUGGCAUCAGACGAGGACUAAAGCGGCGACGCGGUGACGGAUGGGGAUGCGUCCGAUUAGGUUGUUGGCGGGGUAACGGCCCACCAAGCCGUCGAUCGGUAGGGGUUCUGAGAGGAAGGUCCCCCACAUUGGAACUGAGACACGGUCCAAACUCCUACGGGAGGCAGCAGUGAGGAAUAUUGGUCAAUGGGCGCGAGCCUGAACCAGCCAAGUAGCGUGCAGGACGACGGCCCUACGGGUUGUAAACUGCUUUUAUGCGGGAACAAAGGUUGCGACGCGUCGCAUGUUGCGUGUACCGUAUGAAUAAGGACCGGCUAAUUCCGUGCCAGCAGCCGCGGUAAUACGGAAGGUCCGGGCGUUAUCCGGAUUUAUUGGGUUUAAAGGGAGCGUAGGCCGGGGGUUAAGCGUGCUGUGAAAUGUAGUUGCUCAACAUCUGCACUGCAGCGCGAACUGUCCCUCUUGAGUGCGCGGAAAGCCGGCGGAAUUCGUUGUGUAGCGGUGAAAUGCUUAGAUAUGACGAAGAACUCCGAUUGCGAAGGCAGCCGGCUGUAGCGUUACUGACGCUGAAGCUCGAAAGCGUGGGUAUCGAACAGGAUUAGAUACCCUGGUAGUCCACGCGGUAAACGAUGGAUGCUCGCUGUCGGCCUUUCAUGGUCGGUGGCCAAGCGAAAGCAUUAAGCAUCCCACCUGGGGAGUACGCCGGCAACGGUGAAACUCAAAGGAAUUGACGGGGGCCCGCACAAGCGGAGGAACAUGUGGUUUAAUUCGAUGAUACGCGAGGAACCUUACCCGGGCUUGAACUGCAGGGGGACGAUCCGGAGACGGUGAGGUCAGCAAUGACUCCUGCGGAGGUGCUGCAUGGUUGUCGUCAGCUCGUGCCGUGAGGUGUCGGCUUAAGUGCCAUAACGAGCGCAACCCCUUUCGCCAGUUGCCAUCAGGUUUUGCUGGGCACUCUGGCGACACUGCCACCGCAAGGUGCGAGGAAGGUGGGGAUGACGUCAAAUCAGCACGGCCCUUACGUCCGGGGCUACACACGUGUUACAAUGGCGGUCACAGAGGGAAGCCACCCAGCGAUGGGGAGCAGAUCUCGAAAAGCCGUCUCAGUUCGGAUCGGAGUCUGCAACUCGACUCCGUGAAGUUGGAUUCGCUAGUAAUCGCGCAUCAGCCAUGGCGCGGUGAAUACGUUCCCGGGCCUUGUACACACCGCCCGUCAAGCCAUGAAAGCCGGGGGUGCUUGAAGUCCGUGACCGCAAGGAGCGACCUAGGGCAAAACUGGUAAUUGGGGCUA
rnacentral:rRNA from 1 species